UACGAGGGGGGCAAGCGUUGUCCGGAAUUAUUGGGCGUAAAGAGCUCGUAGGCGGCCUGUUGCGUCCGCUGUGAAAGCCCGGGGCUUAACCCCGGGUCGGCAGUGGAUACGGGCAGGCUAGAGGUAGGUAGGGGAGAAUGGAAUUCCCGGUGUAGCGGUGAAAUGCGCAGAUAUCGGGAGGAACACCGGUGGCGAAGGCGGUUCUCUGGGCCUUACCUGACGCUGAGGAGCGAAAGCGUGGGGAGCGAACAGG
rnacentral:rRNA from 1 species